GGUAUCUCCGUGACGGUAGCCUCGGUAAGAUGGAGGGUGACAGCGUUAAUCGAAAUUAAUGUGUGUAAAGCGUGCGCAGGCGGCUUAUUAAUUCAGAUGUGAAAGCCCUAGGCUCAACCUUGGAACUGCAUUUGAAACUAAUAAACUAGAGUAUCGCAGAGGGAGGUAGAAUUCCAGGUGUAGCGGUGAAAUGCGUAGAUAUCUGGAGGAAUACCAGUGGCGAAGGCGACCUCCUGGACGAAAACUGACGCUCAAGCACGAAAGCAUGGGGAGCAAACAGGAUUAUAUACCCGGGUAGUC
rnacentral:rRNA from 1 species